rnacentral:rRNA from 1 species
AACGUAGGAGGCAAGCGUUAUCCGGAGUUACUGGGCGUAAAGCGUGCGUAGGCGGGUCGGUAAGUGGGUGGUGAAAGCGCCGGGCUAAACCGGGCGAGGUCCAUUCAGACUGUCGACCUAGAGGCGGAUAGAGGGGUGCGGAAUUCCGGGUGUAGCGGUGAAAUGUGUAGAGAUCCGGAGGAACACCAGUGGUGCAAACGGCGCCCUGGGUCCGAACUGACGCUGAGGCACGAAAGCGUGGGGAGCGAAC